UUGAAAGAUUCUCCAAUUUGCUCCAGUUCAUAGAAGAUUUGGUGGAGAAAGCAGCACCGGAACGCUUGGCUCUGUACCCAAGUAGAACCAUAAGUAUGGCAAAAAUGAAGAAGCUAAUAAGCUUUUGUAAUCAAACUGACAAUUUGAAAGAGGAAGACCUUGAGGCAUGUGAAGCAGUUGUCCUUCAUCAGCUUCAGAGAUUGUUGCAGAACACAUUGAAUGGAUGCCUCUUACCUGAGAAAACACUUAAUGACAAAGGUAGAGAUACAGAUGAAAAGCAAGUCAGGUCUGACCUGCCACUGGAUUUUACCAUGUUACAGGAACGUUUGUGCAAACACG
rnacentral:lncRNA from 1 species